UUUAUUUUUUUCCCUGAUAACAAAAGCAGAACAGGCUUAUUAUUUAUAAAAAGUGACCAAAACGUCCAAAAUAGAGGUGAAAGCCAGCCCUUAUCCCAGUCCCAGAUAUACAGUGUGGUAUGUCGGGCUACACAGGCUGAUCUGCAAUUCACUUCUUCAAGGCGGUCCUUUGAAACCAAAACUGAUCAUGUCACUGCCACGUUUGAAGGACUCCAGUGGCUUCCUACAGCUCUCAGAUGAAGAGCACUUUCCGUUCGUUGGAUCCCAAGUUACUCCUUCGGAGAAGUUUUGCUUCCCAAGACCGUCCAAUGCAAAGCCAAGUAAUUGAAGACCAACUACUUCAAGGAGGAGUGGCUCUUUUUCAUUCACCAUUCUCUCCCAGUGUCUGGCACGUGGUGGAUGUUCAAUAAAUACUUGUUGGAUGAAUGGACUUGAUAGGUACUAAUUAUCUGAUUGCUUCCAUGAGCCAGCACAAUGCUGGGUAUGGGAGAACCCAGUGGAAUAAUGAAACAAAUGCAGGUUC
rnacentral:lncRNA from 1 species